rnacentral:rRNA from 1 species
UGUCAAGUCGAGCGCGGGAAGCAAACUGAAUCCUUCGGGAGGACGUUUGUGGAACGAGCGGCGGACGGGUGAGUAACACGUGGGCAACCUGCCUGUAAGACUGGGAUAACUCCGGGAAACCGGGGCUAAUACCGGAUAACUCAUCGGAUCGCAUGAUCCGAGGUUGAAAGAUGGCUUCUUGCUAUCACUUACAGAUGGGCCCGCGGCGCAUUAGCUAGUUGGUGAGGUAACGGCUCACCAAGGCCACGAUGCGUAGCCGACCUGAGAGGGUGAUCGGCCACACUGGGACUGAGACACGGCCCAGACUCCUACGGGAGGCAGCAGUAGGGAAUCAUCCGCAAUGGACGAAAGUCUGACGGUGCAACGCCGCGUGAGUGAGGAAGGCCUUCGGGUCGUAAAACUCUGUUGUUAGGGAAGAACAAGUUCCGUUCGAAUAGGGCGGAGCCUUGACGGUACCUAACCAGAAAGCCACGGCUAACUACGUGCCAGCAGCCGCGGUAAUACGUAGGUGGCAAGCGUUGUCCGGAAUUAUUGGGCGUAAAGCGCGCGCAGGCGGUUCCUUAAGUCUGAUGUGAAAGCCCACGGCUCAACCGUGGAGGGUCAUUGGAAACUGGGGAACUUGAAGACAGAAGAGGAGAGCGGAAUUCCACGUGUAGCGGUGAAAUGCGUAGAUAUGUGGAGGAACACCAGUGGCGAAGGCGGCUCUC